ensembl:lncRNA
AAGGAACCAAACUGCUGAGAACUGAAAGAACAUCCAUGUGGUCAACGGAAAUUCACCUUUGUUUGAAGUCUGUGAGAACUGAAAACCCUUCUGGCAGACAUUAAAGGCCAGUUCUUCAGAGACGUGUGGCCCAGCAACACUGAAAUCCAGAGGUGUGAAGAGAACAGAUGCCUUUGGGAGUUUCUGUUUUUAUCCUCAGUGGGAGCAGUGUCUGUUUCUUACCAAACCAUCAUUCAUGUUUACAUCCGUACAGUUUGCUACCAGCGCCCUGUCCUGAGUUUUUCAAGACCUAAGAGAGCUCAGAGAAUAUUCACCACAAUGGAUCGUUAAUUGCUGUGAAUGCUUCCUAGCUGUGCCCCAAUUAAGGGUCUCAGGCAGCAAACGUGAGGCGGUUGGGCUCCUGCUUUCAAAGAGGCUGAACUGCACCCAAGUGCACAUGCGGAUGCUUCGUAAAUCACUUGCAAUGGAAAUGCAACCUCAGUAAACUGAGCACCUCAGACCAAGCCGAUGGAGAUAGGGCAGUGUCCUCCUGCUGAGCAGGAGCCAAACACACUGCAGCACUGGAUCCCAUAGGAGUGGCACAAGAACUUGCAACCAUGGAUCAAAGAGGUCUCAUCCAUCUUGCCUUACCUUUACUGAUGCAUGGUAGGAAACGUUUCCUGUUGGGUGAGAUGGUUAUUAUGGAAUUCCCGUUGAAAAUCAGCAAUUCGACUGUGACAAAGAUUUAUUUUAUAUAAUACUUAUUAGAAGCUGUGCCUAUUCAUUUCCUCCUGAUCCAAGCCUCUGCAAAGCCCUGUUUGUCCUGUGGUAAAAGCCAGCAAUGGAAAAACGCAGUAUUGGUUGCUGUACAAGCACAUUACAAGACAGUUUCGUGAAUGUGCAGACUAAACAGGC